GGGGCUGUAGCUCAGCUGGGAGAGCGCUGCCUUUGCAAGGCAGAAGUCGCGGGUUCGAGUCCCGCCAGCUCCACCA
rnacentral:tRNA from 1 species